ensembl:snRNA U7 U7 small nuclear RNA
AGCUGUCGCACCUUCUUUUAGAAUUUGUUUAGCAGGUUUUCUGGCUUUUACCAGAAAACUUUU